rnacentral:rRNA from 1 species
CCUACGGGGGGCUGCAGUGGGGAAUAUUGGACAAUGGGCGGAAGCCUGAUCCAGCAACGCCGCGUGAGGGAUGACUGCCUUCGGGUUGUAAACCUCUUUCAGCACAGACGAAGCGAAAGUGACGGUAUGUGCAGAAGAAGCACCGGCCAACUACGUGCCAGCAGCCGCGGUAAUACGUAGGGUGCGAGCGUUGUCCGGAAUUAUUGGGCGUAAAGGGCUCGUAGGCGGUUUGUCGCGUCGGGAGUGAAAACACACAGCUUAACUGUGUGCUUGCUUCCGAUACGGGCAGACUAGAGGUAUGCAGGGGAGAACGGAAUUCCUGGUGUAGCGGUGAAAUGCGCAGAUAUCAGGAGGAACACCGGUGGCGAAGGCGGUUCUCUGGGCAUUACCUGACGCUGAGGAGCGAAAGUGUGGGGAGCGAACAGGAUUAG